rnacentral:sRNA from 1 species
AUGCUGCAUUUACCAAAGUCA